CCAUCUUUCGCACGGACGUUUGUGCUCUCGCCCGGCAGAGCCGUGGCUCGAGAUGUCGCCGGCGUCCUGAUCCGUGGAUCAGAAUUCAUGCUUUCCAGUUACGCCGGCAGCGGGUGCAGUUAAUGCGGGUGCCGACAGCUAUCUCCUACCUCCAGUCCUUGGAUCUUGGAUUCUUAAGAGCUGUGAAGCGGUCGAGAUAACUCCUGUGACAAAGCGAUCGAUUGCCCGAUCCGGCGAGUAUGGAGUUCUUGAUGCAGGUACGGAUCUGCUCGCUCUCAUUGCUUGUUCGCCAUCUUCUAGAUUUAUGACUGUCAAUAAAUCUAAUCAGUCUGCCCACAAAAUGCGGAAGCAGCAGAACUCUGCUAGAGGUCAACGAGAACAACAUCCCCACGAGUCCUCUUCAGUACCCUGUGAGGAUGCCUCCGGCCGUUGCGUUGCCGACGCACAGAUUUGUGCUGCUGAGGCUGCUCCAGUGGCAGGCAGUGGAGACAAGCGUCAGGGUUCAGAGAACUCCAUAGAGCAUGUUGACCCGAAAACUCCUGGCUGGAUAAAAGGUACUCACAGUUGGAUUGAACCAACUUAUGUUUUGGUUAGAUGUGCCAAAACAGGCUCGGAAGCCAGGAAGAUGUAAAAAUUGUGGCGUUGAAGAGGGCAUCGUUGCCACAAAUCGGCUGAGCUUAGACUGAAGAGUUGAUCUGAUUAAUUACUUGUUAUGUUGAGCUGCACCACAUGAAAAAAUUGAAGCUGUGUUGUACCUGAAUACUUAUAAGUUGUGUUCUUUCAGAAUAAACUUAGCUUGUCUGUAAAACGCCUGGAUGUCAAUUUGCUGUGCUUUGUCUGAGGAUCUCCACACUGAACUACUUCGUACUUACUGUCUGCUGUUUACGCCCGUUGCUGUAGGAUUAAGAACUUUUCUGUGGAUCCCCUGCCUGCAUGAAUUUCGAGACACAAGCUCGGGGUUGGUGCUUCAUGAAAUGUUCAGAUAUAAAACGCCGGACAAAGUUGCCAAGUCCUUCU
rnacentral:lncRNA from 1 species